rnacentral:rRNA from 1 species
AUUGAACGCUGGCGGCAGGCUUAACACAUGCAAGUCGAGCGAGAGGCGGACGGGUGGGUAAUGUCUGGGAAACUGCCUGAUGGAUGGGGAUCACUACUGGAAACGGUUGCUAAUACCGCAUACAUUCAGAUGUGCCCAGAUGGGAUUAUCUAGUAGGUGGGGUAAUGGCUCACCUAGGCGACGAUCCCUAGCUGGUCUGAGAGGAUGACCAGCCACACUGGAACUGAGACACGGUCCAGACUCCUACGGGAGGCAGCAGUGGGGAAUAUUGCACAAUGGGCGAAAGCCUGAUGCAGCCAUGCCGCGUGUGUGAAGAAGGCCUUCGGGUUGUAAAGCACUUUCAGCGGGGAGGCGUUACUCGCAGAAGAAGCACCGGCUAACUCCGUGCCAGCAGCCGCGGUAAUAC